CGACGCUCCGGAAUCAAUCAACACCACAACCUUCUCAUUCCCUAUCUGCCCAACACCUUCAGUGUCCUCUUUGAUGUGAUCCCUACCAUGGACUGCAGCGACAGAACCUGUAGCUCCUGGACUUGUUGGUUCUGUUGACCCAUUGGACCUUCAGGUUCUUCCUCCUCGUCUUCCUCAGGCUUACUUUCCUCCUCCACAUCCAUACACUUAUACCUUUGAUAAGCUUUACAUCGAUGCCCCGCAAAGUACCUUUCUCCACAAUGACUACAUGGGUUCUGAACUAUCUUCUUCUGAUCACCCUGCUUACUCUCACGCUGUGACUCAAAAGAUUUCCUCGCCGGAGUGACCUCACCUGUCUUCUCUAGACUAGUAUUAUACUGCCUCUGAUGAUUAUUGAGAGCUGGAGCAGAGUUGGUUCUCUGGAAUGUCCUAGACUGAUAGGCACUCUGCUCAUUUUCCUACUCUUCUAUUAUCUUCGCCAUAUCAACAAUCUCGUCCAUCCCCACCGGUCUCAACCUUACGACCUGCUCUCGUAAGCUCCUCUUCAUCCCAUGUAGGAAGAUCCCCUUCAAUACAUCAUCAGGUACAUGAGGAACCUUUGCUGAUAACUCCUCAAAUGCCUCACGAAACACAGAUAUAGUACCCGUCUAUCUCAAUCGUAACAUCUGACUCAGUAUGGUACCACCGCGAGUUGGUUUGAAUCUCCUUUUUAAUUUCAUCUUGAAAUCCCUCCAAUCCAACAGCUCAUCAGGAACAUGUAUCAUCCUCAACCAAGUCACCGCACAAC
rnacentral:lncRNA from 1 species